UUUCCGUAGGUGAACCUGCGGAAGGAUCAUUACAGAGUUCAUGCCCUCACGGGUAGAUCUCCCACCCUUGAAUAUUUAUACCUUAGUUGCUUUGGCAGGCCGUGGAAACACCAUGGGCUCCGGCUUAUGCGUGCCUGCCAGAGGAAACAAACUCUGUUUUUAGUGAUGUCUGAGUACUAUAUAAUAGUCAAAACUUUCAACAACGGAUCUCUUGGUUCUG
rnacentral:misc_RNA from 1 species